rnacentral:lncRNA from 1 species
CUAAUAGUGUCCUUUCUAUCCUGGUACAUCUGUCAUUCCAAUUUUGUUAUCUAUUAGUUGUUUUGAGAUAUAUCCUACCCAUAAUUGUAUUGUUUUGUUUAUAUCUGUUACACAAUCUAAAUCUAAGAAACUAUUAUUUCGUGAUGUUGUGGAUGGCGUCCAUUUUUUGUUUAAUCUUUUAUUCCAUAGACUAUCAUAUCUAUCAGAUUCUUCAUAACUGACUGUAUAAUAAUUAGGUCUUAAUUCUUUUGGAUUUUUUACUUCUGAUGUACCUGAUGUACUUGGUUUUGUAUCUUUAAUAUCUUCCGUAUUUAUUUCUAUAGGAUUACCAGCUUC